GCAUAAACUGGUAAGAUAUAAUCUAAUCCCUCUGCCUUUCUCCUCACUGGCAAAAGGGAACGCCAAACAGCAGAAGAGAAUUUUAUUUGGGAGGAAGAACAGCACUCAGAGUUAAUAUAGAGAGGCAAGCGGGUUCAUCAGCAGAGACAUGGAAGGUCUGGGACUGGAGGCCUGCUCAGAGGAGGCAGCCCAGAAGUGCCGCUCUGGGGAUAGAGGGUAAAGUGGUUCCUCAAAAAGAAGUCAGUGAGAGGUUUUGCCAAAUUGCAGCAGGAUCAGAG
rnacentral:lncRNA from 1 species